rnacentral:rRNA from 1 species
UACGAAGGUCCCAAGCGUUACCUGGAUUUAUUGGGUUUAAAGGGUGCGUAGGCGGGCUAUUAAGUCAGUGGUGAAAGCCCCAAGCUUAACUUGGGAACUGCCAUUGAUACUGAUGGUCUUGAGUACAUUUGAGGUGGGCGGAAUGUGUCAUGUAGCGGUGAAAUGCUUAGAUAUGACACAGAACACCGAUUGCGAAGGCAGCUCACUAAACUGUAACUGACGCUGAGGCACGAAAGCGUGGGGAGCAAACAGG